AUUGAACGCUGGCGGCAUGCCUUACACAUGCAAGUCGAACGGUAACAGGUCUUCGGAUGCUGACGAGUGGCGAACGGGGGAGUAAUACAUCGGAACGUGCCCGAUCGUGGGGGAUAACGAAGCGAAAGCUUGGCUAAUACCGCAUACGAUCGAAGGAUGCCAGCGGGGGAUCUUCGGACCUCGCGCGGCCGGAGCGGCCGAAGGCAGAUUAGGUAGUUGGUGGGAGUAAAGCUUACCAAGCCGACGAUCUGUAGCUGGUCUGAGAGGAUGAUCAGCCACACUGGGACUGAGACACGGCCCAGACUCCUACGGGAGGCAGCAGUGGGGAAUUUUGGACAAUGGGCGCAAGCCUGAUCCAGCCAUGCCGCGUGCAGGAUGAAGGCCUUCGGGUUGUAAACUGCUUUUGUACGGAACGAAAAGGUGCCUUCUAAUAAAGGGCGCUCAUGACGGUACCGUAAGAAUAAGCACCGGCUAACUACGUG
rnacentral:rRNA from 1 species